UACCGGUGCCCCUCUCGAACGUCCGGAUUAGCUAAUCUCCAUCCGGAAAUGACGUGAAAACUCGAAACUGCCAACUUUCUUGAAAAAUUACAAUCUCAUGCCAUCCAGCUUUAUCUUCUUCCCGCAGACGAAAUCGAAGACAUAGACAGAGACAGACACGACGAACCCGUGACCCUCGAGCCCUCAAUCGCGACCUCGAGCCCGCGACCUCGAGCCCUCGACCCGGUAGAGACACAGACGAAGACGAACCCACGACCCUCGAGCGUCGUGAGAUUCUACUUCUCCUCCUCUCUGGGCCGGUAUCGGCAGGCUCGUUGCUUAUCGAUAGGCCCUAAAGAGGCAUCAACACUAAGUUUGGAUGGAGGUUCCGGCAAUGGCAAUCGCGGUUUAUAGUCCGCACUAAAGCUUCCCCUUCGCCAGUUUACAUGCCUCGGAAUCCGCAGCACACACUCUCAAUUGUGUUUAUGCUAAUAGAUAUGUUGCUUGCACAGGCUGGUUAGCUUCUUAUUAUUGCGUUUUGUGUGUCUUUUAUGUGUUAUGUUAUUGUGUCUAUGUGUAUCUUCCUCACUAACCAUGAAUGAAAUAAACUCUUCAUAAAAAAAAA